UACGGAGGGUGCAAGCGUUGUUCGGAAUUACUGGGCGUAAAGCGCGUGUAGGUGGCCUCCUCAGUCUGGCGUGAAAGCCCGGGGCUUACCCCCGGAAGUGCAUUGGAUACUGGGGGGCUGGAGUACCGGAGAGGAGGGUGGAAUUCCUGGUGUAGCGGUGAAAUGCGUAGAUAUCAGGAGGAACACCGGUGGCGAAGGCGGCCCUCUGGACGGAUACUGACGCCGAGACGCGAAAGCGUGGGGAGCAAACAGG
rnacentral:rRNA from 1 species